rnacentral:rRNA from 1 species
GACGGAGGAUGCAAGUGUUAUCCGGAAUCACUGGGCGUAAAGCGUCUGUAGGUGGUUUAAUAAGUCAACUGUUAAAUCUUGAGGCUCAACCUCAAAAUCGCAGUCGAAACUAUUAGGCUAGAGUAUAGUAGGGGUAAAGGGAAUUUCCAGUGGAGCGGUGAAAUGCGUAGAGAUCGGGAGGAACACCCGUGGCGAAGGCGGCCAUCUGGACCAGCACUGACGCUGAGGCACGAAAGCGUGGGGAGCAAACAGG